rnacentral:tRNA from 1 species
GGGGAACGUGUGCGCGCGAGCCCCGGGGCCGAGAAAAUCCAUAGCGCACUGCACCCGGAGAAGCCCUGAUCGUCUUCCAGUGGACGCGGGUUCGAUUCCCGCCACCUCCACCA